GGCUCAGAUUGAACGCUGGCGGCAUGCCUUACACAUGCAAGUCGAACGGCAGCACGGGUGCUUGCACCUGGUGGCGAGUGGCGAACGGGUGAGUAAUAUAUCGGAACGUACCUUAUCGUGGGGGAUAACGCAGCGAAAGCUGCGCUAAUACCGCAUACGCCCUGAGGGGGAAAGCGGGGGACCGUAAGGCCUCGCGCUCACGGAGCGGCCGAUGGCAGAUUAGGUAGUUGGUGGGAUAAAAGCUUACCAAGCCGACGAUCUGUAGCUGGUCUGAGAGGACGACCAGCCACACUGGGACUGAGACACGGCCCAGACUCCUACGGGAGGCAGCAGUGGGGAAUUUUGGACAAUGGGCGCAAGCCUGAUCCAGCCAUGCCGCGUGCAGGAUGAAUGCCUUCGGGUUGUAAACUGCUUUUGUACGGAACGAAAAGACUCUGGUUAAUACCUGGGGUCCAUGACGGUACCGUAAGAAUAAGCACCGGCUAACUACGUG
rnacentral:rRNA from 1 species